AGCUUUCCGUACAGCUUUGGAGGCGGAGAGUGAAAAUGGCGGGCCUCCACCCCGGAGGAGCCAAGAACUCGGGGCCCCACUCCUCAGUGAGCCCCCAGAGAAAAGCCGUCAGUCACUCCCGUCUCCCCGGUCUCUGGCCGCACUCCAUGCUUACCCGGCCUGUGACCACGCGUUUCUCUCUCUGGCACCCGACCCCGGGUGGAGUCUCCAAACCCAGCAGAUCCCUGUGGUGCACUCCCGCGCGGCUCCUCCUGGGGGAGGAAGUAAGGAUCAUCUCAGUGUGGCAGGGAUAGCUCACGUGUGGGUGAAUCCGACCAUGAACCUGAUUCUCUACAUCAAAGGGAGAGGGUGCACAGAGUUGUUGUGUGGGUGAUCAGAGGCUUGCUGGUAAGUGUUUGGCAACCAGUUUGGUUGGGGGAAAUACAGCCCCCGAUUGAAGGGCUAGCCAAGUUCUGUGGCGUAAAUAUUCCUACAAUGGCUGGUCCAAGCUACCAAUAGUUUAAUUCUCUCUCACAAAAGUCCCCAAAAUUUAACAGUCAGGAGCUAGUAUGAGCCAACUCCAGCACAUCCCAUGUCCAUGUGCCUAGAGAAGUGUUGAUUCUGCAACAGACAAAUACAAAGACUUCUAAGGGAUUCACCUCAAUCAAGCAUGUUAAUUAAUGACAAUAACAGCAUUAUCUGGAGGCAAAAGUUCUAGGACUCAGUGGUUGGAAGUAAGGACCACAAAUCAGCCAAACAUCAUCAUCAGGACCCUACUUCCCUUCUACUAUGGGUGUGGAGACUCUUCAGGCAUACUGUACGAGGUGUAGGAGUCUCAGGAUCUACACUGAGAAUCCACUGGUUGAGGCCAUGGCCCUGGCUGGUGAGAGAGCUCAUGUCCCCAGUCUCAGAAGUAGUUGGUGGCCUCAUCUCUCUGGGCUAAGCGAUGGCCAGUGCCUCUAUAAGCAUCCAGAAAGAGUGGGGAAAGGCUAGACAGGAAAGGAUCAUCUAAGUUUUGUGCCCUGCUAGGCCUCAGUCUCCCCUUUUGCAAUAACCGAUAAUUCAUACUUCACAGGAUUUGUUUGUGAAUGUAAUGAAAUAAUGUACUUUGAACUUUAAAGUAUUAUUAUUUUUAUUCCACUUGUAGAAGAAGAGUGAAGAAACUAGAGUGGGGGUGGAAUUGAGUGCCCAGUGCUCUUGGAUGUUACCUCUGGAGUUUCUGCUGAGUCUUCGAGGUGCCCUUCUCCUUUCAGGUAACCUGGAUGGGGAGGACCAUGCUGCAGAGCGAACAGUGGAGGAUGUUUCCCUCCUAAAGUUCAUGCUGGGCACCUUCCCAGGGUGUUUGACUGUCCAGCUGAUCUUAAAGCGCUGGGCUAACCAGUUGGAGAUCUGUGCCCUGGUCCUGAGGGCACAGAAGUUCUACUUCCUGGUGGGCUACACACAAGUUCUACUGCACACAAGUUCUACUUCCUGGUGGGCUACAGUGAGACUCUGCUGUCCCACUUUUACAAAUGUUCCGUCCAUCUGCACCUCCAGACUGUGCCCUCCAAGGUCGUGUAUACAUACAUCUAAGACAGUCACCUUUUCUGCAUCAGGCUCUAGCCUGCGAAGGACAGAACCAUGUGGAAAGAAGUGAAGUAGAAAUGGGGAAAUACAUCACCUCACUGUCUCGAGGAUUCCUUUUCAAAGCUGCUGUUGAAUAAAUAGACCUUCCGUGUUGUCUUGUCUCUUGGUUUGUCUUUCCUCCUUAGAGAAGAGAACUAGAGUAGGGUUUCUUUGAGGAUGCUCCAAGGCUUCCCAAAAGGUUGCCAGUUGUUUGAGGUUUGGGUAAUAGCUACAGUGCAAUGAGUCUCUUGUCACUUUACCAGGAACUUUACCUGGAGUUCUUUGUUUUUUCUCAAAGUGGAAGAAUCCAUUUUUGGUCAUUAUAAAAUAAUCAACAUUAAUUUUUAAAAAUUUUAAAUAGUUUGGACAUGUGUCAAGUCAACCAUGAACGUUUCUUGUAAUUUUUCCACAGAGAGAACUACUGUGAACAGUUUCUUUUAUUUCCAGAUGUACUUUUUCCCUCU